rnacentral:piRNA from 1 species
UCAAAAAUCGUUGGGUGCAUC